GAAUCAUCGAAUCUUUGAACGCACAUUGCGCCCAUUAGUAUUCUAGUGGGCAUGCCUGUUCGAGCGUCAUUUCAACCCUUAAGCCUAGCUUAGUGUUGGGAAUCUAUGUGUGGUCCACGUUACCCUGUAGCGUGGUUACCCUGUAGUUCCUGAAAAUCAACGGCGGAUUUAUAGUAUCCUCUGAGCGUAGUAAUUUUUUAUCUCGCUUCUGUUUAGGUGCUGUAGAUUCUGCCGCUAAACCCCCAAAUUUUUUGUGGUUGACCUCGGAUCAGGUAGGAAUACCCGCUGAACUUAAGCAUAUCAAUAAGCGGAGGAAAAGAAACCAACAGGGAUUCCCCUAGUAACGGCGAGUGAAGCGGGAACAGCUCAAAUUUGAAAUCUGGCCUUCGGGUCCGAAUUGUAAUUUGCAGAGGAUGCUUUUGGUUAGGUACUUUCCGAGUUCCCUGGAACGGGACGCCUUAGAGGGUGAGAGCCCCGUACGGUUGGAUACCGAGCCUUUGUAAAGCUCCUUCGACGAGUCGAGUAGUUUGGGAAUGCUGCUCUAAAUGGGAGGUAAAUUUCUUCUAAAGCUAAAUACCGGCCAGAGACCGAUAGCGCACAAGUAGAGUGAUCGAAAGAUGAAAAGCACUUUGAAAAGAGGGUUAAAUAGCACGUGAAAUUGUUGAAAGGGAAGCGUUUAUGACCAGACUUUUUCCAGGCGGAUCAUCCGGUGUUCUCACCGGUGCACUUCGUCUGGUUGAGGCCAGCAUCGGUUUUCGUAGAGGGAUAAAAGCAGUAGGAAUGUGGUUCCUCCGGGAAUGUUAUAGCCUAUUGUAUAAUACCUUUA
rnacentral:rRNA from 1 species